rnacentral:rRNA from 1 species
UGCCAGACUCCUACGGGAGGCAGCAGUGGGGAAUAUUGCACAAUGGGGGGAACCCUGAUGCAGCGACGCCGCGUGGGUGAAGGAGCCCCUCGGUGCGUAAAGCCCUACCGGCAGGGAAGAAACAGACGGUACCUGACUAAGAAGCCCCGGCUAACUACGUGCCAGCAGCCGCGGUAAUACGUAGGGGGCAAGCGUUUUCCGGAUUUACUGGGUGUAAAGGGGGCGUAGACGGUCCUGGAAGCCAGAUGUGAAAGCCCGGGGCUCAACCCCGGGGCUGCAUUUGGAACUGUAAGGCUAGAGUGUCGGAGAGGCAGGCGGAAUUCCUAGUGUAGCGGUGAAAUGCGUAGAUAUUAGGGGGAACACCAGUGGCGAAGGCGGCCUGCUGGACGAUGACUGACGUUGAGGCUCGAAAGCGUGGGGAGCAAACAGGAUUAGAUACCCCGGGAGAU